rnacentral:rRNA from 1 species
UACAGAGGGGGCAAGCGUUAAUCGGAAUUACUGGGCGUAAAGCGUGCGUAGUCGGUUAUCUAAGUCGGGUGUGAAAUCCCCGGGCUCAACCUGGGAAUUGCAUUCGAUACUGGAUAGCUAGAGUUCGGCAGAGGGAAGCGGAAUUUCGGGUGUAGCGGUGAAAUGCGUAGAUAUCCGAAGGAACAUCAGUGGCGAAAGCGGCUUCCUGGACCAGAACUGACGAUCAGGCACGAAAGCGUGGGGAGCAAACAGG